rnacentral:lncRNA from 1 species
UUAUGGAAGUUCGGUCGAGGUCUGGUUCUUGCAGAAGGCUGAAAGGAGACCGCUUAUUGUAGAAGCUCGAUCGAGGAUCGGUUGUCGUGGGAGCUCGGAGUAGUGAUCUGGCCGAUAGGUCCUUGUCCCACUGUAAAAGCUCGUAGUAGAGAUCCGAAAUAGACCGCCCGCUGUAGGAGUUUGGAGUAGACCGCCCGCUGUAGGAGUUCGGAGUAGACUGCUCACUGUAGGAUUUCGGAGUAGAUUGCCCGC